rnacentral:snRNA from 1 species
GUGCUCACAUAAGCAGCAAAUAUACCAAAACUGGAACCAAGAUUAGCAUGGCCCCUGCACAAAGAUGACACACAAAUUCAUGAAGUGUUCCAUAUUUUU